CGAAGCUGGGUGGAAGCAACCGUGGUAUGACAGAGGCGGCGGGCGUUAAUCGGGAGUAUUGGUGGGAAAGGUAGCGUAGGUGGCGAAUUAAGGCAAAUGUGAAAGCCCCGAGCUGAACUUGGGAAUUGCAGUCGAGACUGGUUGGCUAGAGUAUGGGCGAGGAUGGUAGAAAUCCAGGUGUAUCGGGGAAAUGCGUAGAGAGCUGGAGGAAUACCGAUGGCGAAGGCAGCCAUCUGGCCUAAUACUGACACUGAGGUGCGAAAGCAUGGGGAGCAAACAGGAUUAGAUACCCCAGUAGUC
rnacentral:rRNA from 1 species